AUGAAACCCAGGUGGCGCCCUUAUGAGCUCACAGUCAGGUGGCAGGAGACUCAUGAAUGCUCAAUGUCACUCUGGAGUGACCUGGGCUGUUACAGAAGUGGAGCAAGUCCUGGGACAAGCACAGAAAAAGGGCCUGAGCCUGAAGCCUUCAAUGGCUGCUUGGCCUGGGGGAGCGAGGUCCUUGGAAUGUGCCAUGUGUUGGAAAGAACAGUGGACUUGGGGUCUGGAGACCUGACCUCAGUAGGUAAGUUACUGACUUUUUCUCAGCUGCAGUUACUUCAUGGAUAAACCUGAGGUGCUGGUGGCCAAGUGGUGCAACGGUAAGUGGUUAACAGCUUCCUCUCACAAAAUAAACUUGCUUUGUAGCAUUUGCUGAAUUUGUGGUAACAACACAUUCCUACCAUGGCUGAUUUCAAACUACCAGUGUGGUAUCACUGAACAUGUUAGGAGAGACACACAAUAGCCUCUUCAGAGUCUGUGCAAUCCAACUCCAGCACACUCCUGUAGGGGUCUCAAGGACUAGGGUCUUACUUUAUUUGAACAAAAUGUUGGAUGAUGGACUCUCAUAUUCUGUGCCAAGCUGUGUAUGGGAAAUUCUUCUUCUUCUUCUUCUUAUUUUUUUUCAAAUACAGAGUCUCACUGUUUGCCCUGACUGGAGUGCAGUGGCUUGAUCUUGGCUCACUGCAGCCUGGACCUCUGGGCUCAAGCGAUCCUCCUGCCUCAGCCUGCUGAGUAGCUUGGACUACACGGGUGUACCACCACACCUGGCUAAUUUUCUUAAAAAAAAAUUUUUGUAGGCCAGGCAUGAUGGCUCAUGCCUGUAAUCUCAGCACUUGGAGAAGCUGAAGCAGGUGGAUCACCUGAGGUCAGGAGUUCAAGACCAGUCUGGCCAACAUGGUGAAACCCAGUCUUUACUAAAAAUACAAAAAAUUACCUGGGUGUGCUGGGGGGCACCUGUAAUCUCAGCUAUUUGGGAGGCUGAGACAGGAGAAUCACUUGAACCUGGGAGGUGGAGGUUGCAGUGAGCCGAGAUCACACAAUUGUGCUCCAGCCUAGGCAAUAAGAGCGAAGCUCUGUCUCAGAAAAAAAAAAAAAAUUUUUUUUUGUAGUGACAGGGUCUUGCCAAGUUGCCCAGGUUGGUUUCGAGGUCGUGGGCUCAAGUGAUCCCCCUGCACUGGCCUCCCAAAGUGCUGAGAUUACAGGCAUGAGCCACUGCAGUCAGCCCAGCUGUUCUUUUUGCUGGUAAGAUCAUUUUAUGUGGGCAGGAUGUAUGUGGAUGAUCACUUUGGCCUAAUGUCCAUCUUUGUUUUUAGUUAAAAAAUUAUUUGCCUUUUUAAAAUUAUGACAUAAUUUACAGCAAAGUACAAAAUACUCACAUUGGUAAAAUUUUACACACAUAUACACCCACAUAACCAACCAUUCAGAUUAAGAUACAGGGCAUUUUCAACAUCUCCAAAUCCUCUCUGGUGCCUACUCCCAGUGAACACUUGCCCCUCAAGAGGUAAGCCCCUCCUAAUUCCUUGUACCAUAAACUAGUUUUUCUCAUUCUUGAAGUUCAUGUAAAUGACGUCAUGCAUUAUGUAGUUUUUUUUUUUUUUUUUUUUUUGAGACGGAGUCUUGCUCUGUCACCCAGGCUGGAGUGCAGUGGCCGGAUCUCAGCUCACUGCAAGCUCCGCCUCCCGGGUUUACGCCAUUCUCCUGCCUCAGCCUCCCGAGUAGCUGGGACUACAGGCGCCCGCCACCGCGCCCGGCUAGUUUUUUUUUGUAUUUUUAGUAGAGACGGGGUUUCACCGUGUUAGCCAGGAUGGUCUCGAUCUACUGACCUCGUGAUCCGCCCGCCUCGGCCUCCCAAAGUGCUGGGAUUACAGGCUUGAGCCACCGCGCCCGGCCUAUGUAGUUUUUAAAUAUCUGGCUUUCACUCAUCAUUACCUGUGAGAUUUAUCUAUGUUGUUGUGUAUAAGAGUAUAAUUCAUUUGUUUUCAUUCCUAGGUAGUAUUCCUACCACAGACUUUCAGUAGUUUUAACUUUUUUUUUUUUUUUUUUUGAGCUGGAGUCUCGCUCUGUUGCCCAGGCUGGAGUGCAGUGGUGUGAUCUUGGCUCACUGCAAGCUCUGCCUCCCAGGUUCAUGCCAGUCUCCUGUCUCAGCCUCCCGAGUAACUGGGACUACAGGUGCCCACCACAAUGCCCAGCUAAUUUUUGUAUUUUUAGUAGAGACGGGGUUUCACCAUGUUAGUCAGGAUGGUCUCGAUCUCCUGACCUGGUGAUCCACCUGCCUCGGCCUCCCAAAGUGCUGGGAUUACAGGCGUGAGCCACCGCGCCAGCCCAGUUUUAACUUAUUAAAACUUUUUUAUGCUUCUUAUGCCUGCUUUUGUCUGUCAACUCUGAAACUGUGGAUCCCACUGGCCACAUACUCAGUCCCAUAAUGCUCUGUUUCUCCUUGGCCCUGACCUAUCCUCCACCACUUCACCUCCAACAUCCGCCAUGCCCUUCAGAAUCCCAUCUGUAAGGCAGUGGCUUACAGAUGCAAGCACUUCUGGAGGCCAAGGUGGGCAAAUCGCUUGAGCUCAGGAGUUUUAGACCAGCCUGGCCAACAUGGUGAAACUCUGUUGCUGCAACAAAUUAGCCAGGCCUGGCAAUACACACCUGCAAUCCCAGCUACUUGGGAGGUUGAGGUCUAAAAAAAAAAAAAAAAAAAAAAAAUCCCCUCUGCAAAAUUAACCAACUUCCUCAUAUUUUCAACAUUUCUUUUAAAGCUUUCUCUCACCACCAGCCUUAACUGAAACCUGAAUGACACCUGUUAUGGAAUGAAUGUUUGUCUCCCUUAAAUGCAUAUGUUGAAACCCUAACCCCCUAAGUAACUAUAUUUGGAGAUAAAGGCUAUGAGGAGGCUGGGCAUGAUGGCUCACGCCUGUAAUCCCAACACUUUGGGAGGCCAAGGUGGGUGGAUCGUGAGGUCAGGAGAUUGAGACCAUCCUGGCUAACAUGGUGAAACCCUAUCUCUACUAUAAAUACAAAAAAAUUAGCUGGGCAUGAUGGCAUGUGCCUAUAGUCCCAGCUACUCAGGAGGCUGAGGCAGGAGAAUCGCUUGAACCCAGGAGGUGGAAGUUGCAGUGAGCCGAGAUCACGCCACUGCACUCCAGCCUGGCGACAGAGUGAGACUCCAUCUCAAAAAAAAAAAAAAAAAAAAAAAAAAAAAAGGGCUGUGAGGAGGUGAUAAAAGCUGAAAUGAUAAAGGUCAUAAGGGUAGAUCCCUAUCCGAUAGGGCCAGUGCCCUUACGUGAGGAGGAAGGGACACUAAAGCUAUCAAUCUCCACUGUGUGAGGACACAAUGAGAAAGUGACCAUCUGCAAGCCAGGAAGACAGCUCUCACCAGGACCCAAAUCAGCUGGUACCUUGAUCUUGGACUUCCCAGCCUCCAGAACUCUGAGAAAAUAAAUUUCUGUUGUUGAAGCCACCCAGCCUAUGGCAUUUUGUUAUGGUAACCUGAGCCAACUAAGACAACAUCCAAGGAUGCCUUUUUGCCUAAGGCAUUCUAUAGCAGUUACAGUUUAUUCUCUUUCACUUCGCUACAUAUAAAUAUCUGGGAUUUUAUUUUGCCCUCUGCUGAGUCCAGCUCGGUUGGGGAGACCCUAACCCAGUGGCGCUAGAGGAAUUAAAGACACACACACAGAAAUAUAGAGGUGUGAAGUGGGAAAUCAGGGGUCUCAUAGCCCUCAGAGCUGAGAGACCCCAACAGAGAUUUACCCACGUAUUUAUUAACAGCAAGCCAGUCAUUAGCAUUGUUUCUAUAGAUAUUAG
rnacentral:lncRNA from 1 species